UGGGGAAUAUUGGACAAUGGGCGAAAGACUGAUCCAGCCAUGCCGCGUGUGUGAAGAAGGUCUUCGGAUUGUAAAGCACUUUAAGUUGGGAGGAAGGGCAGUAAGCGAAUACCUUGCUGUUUUGACGUUACCGACAGAAUAAGCACCGGCUAACUCUGUGCCAGCAGCCGCGGUAAUACAGAGGGUGCAAGCGUUAAUCGGAAUUACUGGGCGUAAAGCGCGCGUAGGUGGUUCGUUAAGUUGAAUGUGAAAGCCCCGGGCUCAACCUGGGAACUGCAUCCAAAACUGGCGAGCUAGAGUAGGGCAGAGGGUGGUGGAAUUUCCUGUGUAGCGGUGAAAUGCGUAGAUAUAGGAAGGAACACCAGUGGCGAAGGCGACCACCUGGGCUCAUACUGACACUGAGGUGCGAAAGCGUGGGGAGCAAACAGG
rnacentral:rRNA from 1 species